CCUACGGGUGGCUGCAGUGAGGAAUAUUGGUCAAUGGACGAGAGUCUGAACCAGCCAAGUAGCGUGAAGGAUGACUGCCCUAUGGGUUGUAAACUUCUUUUAUAUGGGAAUAAAAUGUUCCACGUGUGGGAUUUUGUAUGUAUCAUAUGAAUAAGGAUCGGCUCACUCCGUGCCAGCAGCCGCGGUAAUACGGAGGAUCCGAGCGUUAUCCGGAUUUAUUGGGUUUAAAGGGAGCGUAGGUGGAUUGUUAAGUCAGUUGUGAAAGUUUGCGGCUCAACCGUAGAAUUGCAGUUGAAACUGGCAGUCUUGAGUACAGUAGAGGUGGGCGGAAUUCAUGGUGUAGCGGUGAAAUGCUUAGAUAUCACGAAGAACUCCGAUUGCGAAGGCAGUUCACUGGACUGCAACUGACGCUGAGGCUCGAAAGUGUGGGUAUCAAACAGGAUUAGAUACCCUAGUAGUC
rnacentral:rRNA from 1 species